GUUUAGGAGACAACGAAGAUAUUGAUCAUUCAGUGGCAGAUGAUACCAAACUGAACUCAUCUGUGGCUAACCGACCUGAUUUGGAUCAGUUCAUGGAAGCAUACUGCAUGACCCUGAACAAGCUCAAAGAAGCAAUUAAAGAACCACAACAAGAAUCCAUGGCAUUCAUAGAAAGUAUGCAUUCUCAACUCAAAGAACUAAUGGAAGACCCUUCAUCCUCCGCUUUAUCUCCGAGCCAGGGUAAGCUGACUUGAAAUGAGAACGGAUUUAGAGACACGGUCCUGGAAUGCUAUAAAUUAUAGAUCGAACCUCGACCGACUGGUUGAAAAAUAGAUUUAUUCAUCUUUUCCAACAAUGAAUGUAAAAUUAUCUAGCUAGUAGGUAUUACUAAUGUGAACAUAUUUUUCAGUCAUUUAGUAAACUAUAAUUUCCAGGUAGCUAGCUAGUUAGAUGCUUCA